UGAAUAAAAGAUGAAAAUGUAAAAAAUUCAAUGAAAUGUGUGCCGCCAUUUCUCACUUUUUCUCAGAAUUCAAUUAAGCCUUGAGAGCAGUUUCUAUUGAAGGUUUGAUGUGUCUGGUUGUAGUUCAUCCAUCAAAUCCUCAACUUCAAAUUCAAAGUUUUCAUCUAGGUUUUCUCUACAGCUGCAAUGAAACCACCGUCCAGCAUACAAUCAUUGGCGUGAAAUUGAAAAUCUUACGAGAACCUUAUGGAACAAGUUUUGCAUUGUAUCGGUAAGAUAAAUGCUACAAUCAAUUUAAUGAAUAACCUAUGUAUCCGGUGAAGUUUAUUAAAUAAUUAAUGUAUUUGAUCUCUUUUAGGUUUAUUGAAUAAUCGGGGCUUCUGGUUUUUGUUUGUUAGGUUUAUCGAAUAAUCGAUGUAUCUGAUCUCUAUCAUGACUAAAUACAUCGAUUUUGAAAAAAAAAACUUUGUUUGUAAUUGUGAAUAGAGCAACAAUUCAUGAAAUUAAAACAAAGGUGAAGUCAUUGAUGAAAAUAA